rnacentral:rRNA from 1 species
AACGAACGCUGGCGGCAGGCCUAACACAUGCAAGUCGAACGAGAUCUUCGGAUCUAGUGGCGGACGGGUUAGUAACGCGUGGGAACGUGCCUCUCUCUACGGAACAGUCCUGGGAAACUGGGUUUAAUACCGUAUACGCCCUUUGGGGGAAAGAUUUAUCGGAGAGAGAUCGGCCCGCGUUGGAUUAGGUAGUUGGUGGGGUAAUGGCCUACCAAGCCUACGAUCCAUAGCUGGUUUGAGAGGAUGAUCAGCAACACUGGGACUGAGACACGGCCCAGACUCCUACGGGAGGCAGCAGUGGGGAAUCUUAGACAAUGGGGGCAACCCUGAUCUAGCCAUGCCGCGUGAGUGACGAAGGCCUUAGGGUCGUAAAGCUCUUUCGCUGGGGAAGAUAAUGACGGUACCCAGUAAAGAAACCCCGGCUAACUCCGUGCCAGCCGCCGCCGUAACAC